GCGCUCCUUUCCCCGCGAAAACACAUGAAGACGGUGAUGACGGCAGGAAUGGCUAAAUCACCUUGAAGGUAAUUCAUUCUGGGUUUUUACUGCAUACGAAAUGGAGUUAUAAUAUAAUAUGAUGUUAAUAUAAAGUGUAACAUGACCCCAGUUUCCAUUACCAUAUAUGACAUUUCACUAUGGUCACUAAAUGCAACGUCCCUGUGGACUUGGGCAGUGUUGCUAACUUAGUGACUUUCUCGCUAUACUUAGAGACUUUUCAGACCCCUCUAGCGACUUAUUUUCGAAAAAGUGACUAGCGACAAAAGCUAGCGACAUUUUGUGGUGUUAUUGGAGACUUUUGGAGACUGACGUGAAAGCAGGUAUCGCCUACUCGUCACAACGAGCAGCAGGUGCUGCCGUGAGCCCCUCCCCGUCCCACAGUACUCACAGGCGGCCGCUCCUCGCGCGUCACAUCCGCUCCUUCCAGCCUCCGUCAGCGCAGAGUGCGCUCCCAUAGACACGCGCAGAGUGCGCUCCCAUAGACACGCGCAGAGUGCGCUCCCAUAGACACGCGCAGAGUGCGCUCCCAUAGACACGCGCAGAGUGCGCUCCCAUGGACACGCGCAGAGUGCGCUCCCAUAGUUUUUGGAAUCUCUGCCGGACGCAUUUUUUAGGUCUCAAAAAGAGGACAUGUCCGGGGAAAAGAGGACGUUUGGUCACCCUAAUUAAACAGCCUGAUAACUCUGUCCUCGCAGCAGCUAACGAUGGCUCACCGCUUGUGUAGCUACAGCAGCUAGCUAGCCAUCUACCUUCUAUUCGUAUUUAUUUUUCUACACAAUAGAAAAGCGAUGUGCUCUCGUGCCUCAUGCAGCUCUUCUGUGUUGCACGUCAAUACUUUGAGACAAACAAGGAGCGUCAAUCUAACGUAAAUGCUUUUCAAUAAAUGUCUUUAGUUCCUGCACAAUGAACAUGAAUCUCAAAUUAAAUGAUUAAUAUUCCCCAAAUUCCAAUUAACUACACUUCCGCUGUUACAGAGGGGAAAAACUGUAAUCAUACUGUAAACUUUCAAAAGUUCAUGUAUUGUGCAUAGUUUGAAGUGAAAAAAAACUUUUCUUCAAUUGUGUUUGGGUUCAGGCUCUGUUUAGGAUCGGUAUCGGAAAAACCCAAACGAUACUCAUCCCUACUCUCAUGUCUGCGCGCUCAACGUGAAGCUAAAGCCAGCCGCUGGUUAGCUUAGCAUGAAGACUGGAGACAAGAGGGCUCGAAAGGGAUGUUUAAAAAUCUGGAUUCAACAGUUUACAAAUUUCCGACUUGAUGAAACAAUGGACAAAAAUCGUUCUUUAUUUAUUCUUAAAGUGUUUGCUUUCAAGAUCAAGAUGGGGUCAUAGAAAAAAACAAGUAGAGCUAAGUGUUUUAUGCACCAUGUCAAGUGGAUGAGCUCCAUCAAUACAAAUACACCGUCCACACACACACAUUUACUCUAAAGGCUCAUUUGCAUAUUGUAGAUACCUUCACUGUAACCAUAGAGACGUUACAUCAUGAUGGAACAUUUCUCCAUGUUCCAUGUUCCAUGUUCCAUGUUCUAUGCUCCGUUCACCACAGCAUAAGAACACAGUCUGUUGCACAUCCAGUCAGUCAGUUUCAAACCUUGCAUCUGCACACUGAAGUUUUCCGGACCUACACUUGCAGAAAGCAACCAUGGCCUCAGGAGUCUGUAGAGGGGACGAAGACGCGUUCUGCUGCACUUAACAGAGCUCAAGACCAACGGGACGCCAUCAGGACGCCACGUCAACGGGA
ensembl:lncRNA